rnacentral:rRNA from 1 species
UACAGAGGGGGCAAGCGUUGUUCGGAAUUACUGGGCGUAAAGGGUUCGUAGGUGGCUUGCUAAGUCAGACGUGAAAUCCCUCAGCUUAACUGGGGAACUGCGUCUGAUACUGGCGAGCUUGAGUGCAGGAGAGGAACGCGGAAUUCCAGGUGUAGCGGUGAAAUGCGUAGAUAUCUGGAGGAACACCGGUGGCGAAGGCGGCGUUCUGGACUGCAACUGACACUGAUGAACGAAAGCCAGGGGAGCAAACGGG